AUGUCUACAUGUGUGCGUGCAUGCACAUAUGUCUGUAUCCGAGUCCAUCUUUUACGUAUGCGCACACAUAUGCACACGUGUGUAUGCAUAUACACAUAUGUGUGUGCGUAUAUCAUGUAUGUGCGACGUGCAUACACAUGCUUAUAUUCAUGUACAUGUCUACAUGUGUGCGUGCAUGCACAUAUGUCUGUAUCCGAGUCCAUCUUUUACGUAUGCGCACACAUAUGCACACGUGUGUAUGCAUAUACACAUAUGUGUGUGCGUAUAUCAUGUAUGUGCGACGUGCAUACACAUGCUUAUAUUCAUGUACAUGUCUACAUGUGUGCGUGCAUGCACAUAUGUCUGUAUCCGAGUCCAUCUUUUACGUAUGCGCACACAUAUGCACACGUGUGUAUGCAUAUACACAUAUGUGUGUGCGUAUAUCAUGUAUGUGCGACGUGCAUACACAUGCUUAUAUUCAUGUACAUGUCUACAUGUGUGCGUGCAUGCACAUAUGUCUGUAUCCGAGUCCAUCUUUUACGUAUGCGCACACAUAUGCACACGUGUGUAUGCAUAUACACAUAUGUGUGUGCGUAUAUCAUGUAUGUGCGACGUGCAUACACAUGCUUAUAUUCAUGUACAUGUCUACAUGUGUGCGUGCAUGCACAUAUGUCUGUAUCCGAGUCCAUCUUUUACGUAUGCGCACACAUAUGCACACGUGUGUAUGCAUAUACACAUAUGUGUGUGCGUAUAUCAUGUAUGUGCGACGUGCAUACACAUGCUUAUAUUCAUGUACAUGUCUACAUGUGUGCGUGCAUGCACCUAUGUCUGUAUCCGAGUCCAUCUUUUACGUAUGCGCACACAUAUGCACACGUGUGUAUGCAUAUACACAUAUGUGUGUGCGUAUAUCAUGUAUGUGCGACGUGCAUACACAUGUUUAUAUUCAUGUACAUGUCUACAUGUGUGCGUGCAUGCACCUAUGUCUGUAUCCGAGUCCAUCUUUUACGUAUGCGCACACAUAUGCACACGUGUGUAUGCAUAUACACAUAUGUGUGUGCGUGUAUCAUGUAUGUGCGACGUGCAUACACAUGUUUAUAUUCAUGUAUAUGUCUACAUAUGUAUAUGCACACACACAAUAUGUUUGAAAUUAGAAACUCAACAGAAAGUUCAAGUAGCAGGUUUGAUACAGCUGGGGAGAGAAUUAGGAAGUGGAAGACAAAGUUGAAGAAAUUAUUCAGAAUGCACUACUGA
rnacentral:lncRNA from 1 species